rnacentral:rRNA from 1 species
AACGCAGGUGGUUUGGUAAGUCAGGGGUGAAAGUCCACAGCUUAACUGUGGCACUGCCUUUGAUACUACCUUUCUUGAGUGCAUGAGGGGGAAGCGGAAUUCCGAGUGUAGAGGUGAAAUUCGUAGAUAUUCGGAGGAACACCGGUGGCGAAGGCGGCUUCCUGGCAUGUAACUGACACUCAUGUUCGAAAGCGUGGGGAGCAAACAGGAUUAGAUACCCUGGUAGUCCACGCCCUAAACGAUGGGCACUAGGUGUGGGAGGUAUCGACCCCUUCCGCGCCGCAGCUAACGCAUUAAGUGCCCCGCCUGGGGAGUACGGCCGCAAGGUUGAA